GCCACAUCACAUUAAAACACUGGUUCCCAUUCAAUCACCAAAGUUAAGCAACAUCGAGUGUGGUCAUUACCUAGAUGGGGGACUACUUGGGAAUAUCAGGUGCUGUAA